CCGUCGCUCAUUGGGGAGUAGCCGCCCUGCUUCAUGCCCGCGCAACGGUUCGGUCAGAUCGAACAGCGAGCGCAGCGCGCAUGAAUCGCGGGGGCGCCUGUCAACAGACUUGGCCAUAUCGGCCAUGGCAGACGCAGCCUCUGGCCUGGCGAGACCGAUGAUCCACCACCGCCGCUCUAGGGCCC
rnacentral:sRNA from 2 species